GACGAACGCUGGCGGCGCGCUUAACACAUGCAAGUCGAACGGAAAGGCCUGCUUUCCCUUGUGGAUUGCGGGUACUCGAGUGGCGAACGGGUGAGUAACACGUGAGUUAUCUGCCCCCAACUUGGGUAUAAGCCUGGGAAACUGGGUCUAAUUCUCGAUAGGACUGCAGGGUGGUGCCUGUGGUGGAAAACGAUUUUCUAGUGGUUGGGGAUGAGCUCGCGGCGUAUCAGCUGGUUGGUGGGGUAAUGGCCUACCAAGGCGGCGACGGGUAGCGGGCCUGGGAGGAGGGACAGCGACACUGAGACUGGGUCCAGGCCCAGACUCGAACGGGAGGUGGGGAUGAGGAGACUAGCAGAGCGAGCGGAAGCCUGAUGCAGCGCCGCGGCGUGGAGGAUGACGGCGUUCGGGUGGUAAACUGCUUGCGAACGAGAGGAAGCCACCUGGUUGGAAGGGUGGUGACGGUAGUGGUAGAAGAAGCACCGGCUAACUACGUG
rnacentral:rRNA from 1 species